rnacentral:rRNA from 1 species
AGGGGCUUCGGCCCUGAGUAGAGUGGCGAACGGGUGAGUAACACGUGGGUGACCUACCUUCGAAUGGGGGAUAACGUCCCGAAAGGGACGCUAAUACCGCAUAACAUCCUGUCUUUGAAGAGACGGAGAUCAAAGCUGGGGAUCGUAAGACCUGGCGUUUGAAGAGGGGCCCGCGUCCGAUUA